CACGUUUAGUAUUUAUUCUUUCCAUUGACUAAAUUGGGACUAUUCUGACCAAUUCUUACAGGAACUAUUUUACCUUAAAAGUAGUCUAGAUGUCAGGCAGCUGGAACUGAGCAACCACCUGCUUAAUUAAAAGCUUUGAGGAGCUGUCUUAGAUCCACAAACUACUCAAGUUUUAACCAUUCUCAGAGGAGCUGUGAGGAGGCAGAGG